rnacentral:rRNA from 1 species
AACGAACGCUGGCGGCAUGCCUAACACAUGCAAGUCGAACGAGACCUUCGGGUCUAGUGGCGCACGGGUGCGUAACGCGUGGGAACCUGCCCUUAGGUUCGGAAUAACUCCCCGAAAGGGGUGCUAAUACCGGAUAAUGUCUUCGGACCAAAGAUUUAUCGCCUUUGGAUGGGCCCGCGUUGGAUUAGCUAGUUGGUAGGGUAAAAGCCUACCAAGGCGACGAUCCAUAGCUGGUCUGAGAGGAUGAUCAGCCACACUGGGACUGAGACACGGCCCAGACUCCUACGGGAGGCAGCAGUGGGGAAUAUUGGAACAUGGGGGAAAGCCUGAUCCAGCAAUGCCGCGUGAGUGAUGAAGGCCUUAGGGUUGUAAAGCUCUUUUACCCGGGAUGAUAAUGACAGUACCGGGAGAAUAAGCCCCGGCUAACUCCGUG